GAAUAUUGGUCAAUGGGCGAGAGCCUGAACCAGCCAAGUAGCGUGAAGGAUGACCGCCCUAUGGGUUGUAAACUUCUUUUAUAUGGGAAUAAAGGGUGCCACGUGUGGCAUUUUGUAUGUACCAUAUGAAUAAGGAUCGGCUAACUCCGUGCCAGCAGCCGCGGUAAUACGGAGGAUCCGAGCGUUAUCCGGAUUUAUUGGGUUUAAAGGGAGCGUAGGCGGACGCUUAAGUCAGUUGUGAAAGUUUGCGGCUCAACCGUAAAAUUGCAGUUGAUACUGGGUGUCUUGAGUACAGUAGAGGCAGGCGGAAUUCGUGGUGUAGCGGUGAAAUGCUUAGAUAUCACGAAGAACUCCGAUUGCGAAGGCAGCUUGCUGGACUGUAACUGACGCUGAUGCUCGAAAGUGUGGGUAUCAAACAGGAUUAGAUACCCUGGUAGUCCACACAGUAAACGAUGAAUAUUCGCUGUUUGCGAUAUACAGUAAGCGGCCAAGCGAAAGCGUUAAGUAUUCCACCUGGGGAGUACGCCGGCAACGGUGAAACUCAAAGGAAUUGACGGGGGCCCGCACAAGCGGAGGAACAUGUGGUUUAAUUCGAUGAUACGCGAGGAACCUUACCCGGGCUUGAAUUGCAACUGAAUGAUGUGGAGACAUGUCAGCCGCAAGGCAGUUGUGAAGGUGCUGCAUGGUUGUCGUCAGCUCGUGCCGUGAGGUGUCGGCUUAAGUGCCAUAACGAGCGCAACCCUUAUCGAUAGUUACCAUCAGGUUAUGCUGGGGACUCUGUCGAGACUGCCGUCGUAAGAUGUGAGGAAGGUGGGGAUGACGUCAAAUCAGCACGGCCCUUACGUCCGGGGCUACACACGUGUUACAAUGGGGGGUACAGAAGGCAGCUACACGGCGACGUGAUGCUAAUCCCUAAAGCCUCUCUCAGUUCGGAUUGGAGUCUGCAACCCGACUCCAUGAAGCUGGAUUCGCUAGUAAUCGCGCAUCAGCCACGGCGCGGUGAAUACGUUCCCG
rnacentral:rRNA from 1 species